rnacentral:rRNA from 1 species
CCUACGGGAGGCAGCAGUGAGGAAUAUUGGUCAAUGGGCGAGAGCCUGAACCAGCCAAGUCGCGUGAAGGAUGACGGCCCUACGGGUUGUAAAUUUCUUUUGUCAGGGAGCAAUUGGGUCCACGCGUUGGCUUAGCGAGAGUACCUGAAGAAACAGCCUCGGCUAACUCCGUGCCAGCAGCCGCGGUAAUACGGAGGAUGCGAGCGUUAUCCGGGUUUAUUGGGUGUAAAGGGUGCGUAGUCGGAAUAUGACAUCAGCGGGAAAAUUUCGGGGCUCAACCCCGUCGUGCCGUUGAAACUGAUGUUCUUGAGGGGGCGAGAGGUAUGCGGAAUGCGUGGUGUAGCGGUGAAAUGAAUAGAUAUCACGCAGAACCCCGAUUGCGAAGGCAGCAUACCGGUGCACAACUGACGCGCAGGCACGAAAGCGUGGGUAUCGAACAGGAUUAGAUACCCCGGUAGUC